GAAAUUUAUCAAAAUUUCUGUAAAGGCUAAGUAUAAGUCUAUAAAAAAAAAUUAAUCGGGGUAUCACAAUUACCAUACUUAAUUACUUAGUUUGGCUCAAUUGGAAUGUUUCAGCUAUUUUUCUUAAGUGAUAUCACAUAAUCUUGUAUUUGAGUUCAGCCAUGGUCCUCGGCUUGUCAGCGUUUCCUUGGACUUCAAAUAUCUCCACAAUAAAUAGGUGGCGUCUAAUCGGAAGACCUCUAGACGUAAAGCGUGUUCCACAGUAUCAAUUUCGACCUCCACGCGGUAUGUCAUUAGUCGAUCUGUUAUUGUUAUUAUUAUUAUGUUAAAAAUUAUUUCAUUGUCCGCUGAUUUAACCUAAAAUGGCCUACUAUGUAUCUUCAGCGGCAAUGUAACAUUUCGAAUAAAAUAUCUUAGUUAAACCAAA